CUAAUGCAAAGCUCAAUACCAU
rnacentral:siRNA from 1 species